AUUGAACGCUGGCGGCAGGCCUAACACAUGCAAGUCGAACGAGCGGCGGACGGGUGAGAAAUGUCUGGGAAACUGCCCGAUGGAGGGGGAUAACUACUGGAAACGGUAGCUAAUACCGCAUACCCUCUGAUGUGCCCAGAUGGGGUUUGAGAGUAGGUGGGGUAAAGGCUCACCUAGGCGACGAUCCCUAGCUGGUCUGAGAGGAUGACCAGCCACACUGGAACUGAGACACGGUCCAGACUCCUACGGGAGGCAGCAGUGGGGAAUAUUGCACAAUGGGCGCAAGCCUGAUGCAGCCAUGCCGCGUGUAUGAAGAAGGCCUUCGGGUUGUAAAGCACUUUCAGCGGGGAGGCGUUACCCGCAGAAGAAGCACCGGCUAACUCCGUGCCAGCAGCCGCGGUAAUUC
rnacentral:rRNA from 1 species